rnacentral:antisense_RNA from 9 species
UGUUAUGGCGGCUGUGCGUGGGAGGCCUUCGGGUCUGCCGGUUACUCGUUUCCGGUUCGCCAACCUGCGUACAGCUGCCACCUAA